rnacentral:rRNA from 1 species
GACGUAGGAGGCGAGCGUUGUCCGGAUUCAUUGGCGUAAAGAGCGCGCAGGCGGCUUGGUAAGUCGGAUGUGAAAUCCCGAGGCUCAACCUCGGGUCUGCAUCCGAUACUGCCCGGCUAGAGGUAGGUAGGGGAGAUCGGAAUCCUGGUGUAGCGGUGAAAUGCGCAGAGUAUCAGGAGGAACACCGGUGGCGAAGGCGGAUCUCUGGGCCUACCUGACGCUCAGGCGCGAAGCUAGGGGAGCGAACUGG